AUUGAACGCUGGCGGCAGGCCUAACACAUGCAAGUCGAGCGGAUGAAGGGAGCUUGCUCCUGGAUUCAGCGGCGGACGGGUGAGUAAUGCCUAGGAAUCUGCCUGGUAGUGGGGGAUAACGUCCGGAAACGGGCGCUAAUACCGCAUACGUCCUGAGGGAGAAAGUGGGGGAUCUUCGGACCUCACGCUCUCAGAUGAGCCUAGGUCGGAUUAGCUAGUUGGUGGGGUAAAGGCCUACCAAGGCGACGAUCCGUAACUGGUCUGAGGGGAUGAUCAGUCACACUGGAACUGAGACACGGUCCAUACUCCUACGGGAGGCAGCAGUGUGGAAUAUUGGACAAUGGGCGAAAGCCUGAUCCAGCCAUGCCGCGUGUGUGAAGAAGGUCUUCGGAUUGUAAAGCACUUUAAGUGGGGAGGAAGGGCAGUAAGUUAAUACCUUGCUGUUUUGACGUUACCAACAGAAUAAGCACCGGCUAACUUCGUG
rnacentral:rRNA from 1 species